rnacentral:rRNA from 1 species
AUUGAACGCUGGCGGCAGGCCUAACACAUGCAAGUCGAACGAGUGGCGGACGGGUGAGUAAUGUCUGGGAAACUGCCUGAUGGAGGGGGAUCACUACUGGAAACGGUAGCUAAUACCGCAUACCAUCGGAUUUGCCCAGAUGUGAUUAGCUAGUAGGUGGGGUAACGGCUCACCUAGGCGACGAUCCCUCGCUGGUCUGAGAGGAUGACGUGCCACACUGGAACGGAAACACGGUCCAGACUCCUACGGGAGGCAGAAGUGGGGAAUAUUGCACAAUGGGCUCAAGCCGGAUGAAGCCAGGCGGGGUGUAUGAAGAAGGCCUUCGGGUUGUAAAGUACUUUCAGCGGGGAGGCGUUACCCGAAGAAGAAGCACCGGCUAACUCCGUGCCAGCAGCCGCGGUAAUAC